GACGAACGCUGGCGGCGUGCUUAACACAUGCAAGUCGAACGGAAAGGCCCUGCUUUUGUGGGGUGCUCGAGUGGCGAACGGGUGAGUAACACGUGAGUAACCUGCCCUUGACUUUGGGAUAACUUCAGGAAACUGGGGCUAAUACCGGAUAGGAGCUCCUGCUGCAUGGUGGGGGUUGGAAAGUUUCGGCGGUUGGGGAUGGACUCGCGGCUUAUCAGCUUGUUGGUGGGGUAGUGGCUUACCAAGGCUUUGACGGGCAGCCGGCCUGAGAGGGUGACCGGCCACAUUGGGACUGAGAUACGGCCCAGACUCCUACGGGAGGCAGCAGUGGGGAAUAUUGCACAAUGGGCGGAAGCCUGAUGCAGCAACGCCGCGUGCGGGAUGAAGGCCUUCGGGUUGUAAACCGCUUUCGCCUGUGACGAAGCGUGAGUGACGGUAAUGGGUAAAGAAGCACCGGCUAACUACGUG
rnacentral:rRNA from 1 species